CGUUCCUCAGACAAAUUCAAGUAUUUUCUAUGCCCAAAAGUAGCAGAAAGCCUCAGCUGUAGUUAGCAGUGAAUUCACACCGAAAUAUGGAAUUUCACUUGUAUUAAGGGUCCUUUAGUUGUCCUUUAGUUAGAUGCAUGAUCUAGAUUAAAAGUUGUAUAAGGUUAAUAUUAUUUAUAGUCCAUUUGUAUAGUUCGCAGAAGGUUGUAAAGAUAGGUUUGACUUUUCAUAAUUAUGAAGAAAUGAUUUAGCUUGGUGUAUUCCACAAUCUCCCUUCUCUCCUUCUAAAUCUCUCUUCUGAAUUCUCUUUUAUCCAUAUUUUUCUCUUCUUAAAUUUUCUACAGGCUUUCUACACUUUCAGUGCUGUAUCAAGCUCGACUCCAUGACAACCCUGCCCGAACCCAUGUAACAUAGCUUUCAGCAUAUAGCAACAGAACAAAAUUACCAAGAAGUUUCAUAUAAUAUUCUGAUGGCUCUAUAAGUUCAUCUUACUGGUGAAAUUUGAAUGGAUUGCAAAAGAACAAGCAAUUAUAAAUAUGAACGAAAACCAUGACGAUGAUAUCAACUGAAAAUAGAUUCCAGGCAUUAUAUCAAACUAUAUAGUAAUUUGGUUGUGACUCUAACUUCCUUGUCAGG
rnacentral:lncRNA from 1 species